rnacentral:tRNA from 1 species
AGGGGUAUAGCUUAGUGGUAAAGCACUUGCCUAGCAUGUUGGAAGCCCUGGGUUCAAUCCCCAGCACUACAA